rnacentral:ncRNA from 3 species
CUUUGGUUAUCUAGCUGUAUGA